AACGAACGCUGGCGGCAUGCCUAACACAUGCAAGUCGAACGAGACCUUCGGGUCUAGUGGCGCACGGGUGCGUAACGCGUGGGAACCUGCCCUUAGGUUCGGAAUAACUCCCCGAAAGGGGUGCUAAUACCGGAUAAUGUCUUCGGACCAAAGAUUUAUCGCCUUUGGAUGGGCCCGCGUUGGAUUAGCUAGUUGGUAGGGUAAAAGCCUACCAAGGCGACGAUCCAUAGCUGGUCUGAGAGGAUGAUCAGCCACACUGGGACUGAGACACGGCCCAGACUCCUACGGGAGGCAGCAGUGGGGAAUAUUGGACAAUGGGCAAAAGCCUGAUCCAGCAAUGCCGCGUGGGUGAUGAAGGCCUUAGGGUUGUAAAGCUCUUUUACCCGGGAUGAUAAUGACAGUACCGGGAGAAUAAGCUCCGGCUAACUCCGUG
rnacentral:rRNA from 1 species